rnacentral:rRNA from 1 species
UACGAGGGGGGCGAGCGUUGUUCGGAAUUAUUGGGCGUAAAGGGUGCGUAGGCGGUUUGGUAAGUCUGAUGUGAAAUCUAUGGGCUCAACUCAUAGUCUGCAUCGGAAACUGCCGGGCUUGAGUGUGGGAGAGGUGAGUGGAAUUCCUGGUGUAGCGGUGAAAUGCGUAGAUAUCAGGAGGAACACCUGUGGCGAGAGCGGCUCACUGGACCAUAACUGACGCUGAUGCACGAAAGCUAGGGGAGCAAACAGG